AUAUUUACCUGGCAGAGGAGAUACCAUGAUCAUGAAGGUUGUUUUCCCAGGGUGAGUCUUUUCCGUUGCACUCUAGGUGUGCUGACCUCUGCAAUGUCCCCAAAUGUGGGAAACUCACAGCAUAAUUUUUUUUGUAGUGGGGGACUGCAUUCAUGCUCUCCCCUG
rnacentral:snRNA from 1 species